rnacentral:tRNA from 1 species
GCCCUGGUGGUGGAAUUGGUAGACACGCAGGACUUAAAAUCCUGUAGCCAUUAUGGCUGUACGGGUUCAAGUCCCGUCUGGGGUA